UGGGGAAUUUUGGACAAUGGGCGAAAGCCUGAUCCAGCAAUGCCGCGUGUGUGAAGAAGGCCUUCGGGUUGUAAAGCACUUUUGUCCGGAAAGAAAUCCUCUGGGUUAAUACCUCGGGGGGAUGACGGUACCGGAAGAAUAAGCACCGGCUAACUACGUGCCAGCAGCCGCGGUAAUACGUAGGGUGCAAGCGUUAAUCGGAAUUACUGGGCGUAAAGCGUGCGCAGGCGGUUUUGUAAGACGGAUGUGAAAUCCCCGGGCUUAACCUGGGAACUGCAUUCGUGACUGCAAGGCUAGAGUAUGGCAGAGGGGGGUAGAAUUCCACGUGUAGCAGUGAAAUGCGUAGAGAUGUGGAGGAAUACCGAUGGCGAAGGCAGCCCCCUGGGCCAAAUACUGACGCUCAUGCACGAAAGCGUGGGGAGCAAACAGGAUUAGAUACCCUGGUAGUCCACGCCCUAAAACGAUGUCAACUAGUUGUUGGGGAUUCAUUUCCUUAGUAACGUAGCUAACGCGUGAAGUUGACCGCCUGGGGGAGUACGGUCGCAAGAUUAAAAACUCAAAGGAAUUGACGGGG
rnacentral:rRNA from 1 species